GUGCUCGCUUCAGCAGCACAUGUACUAAAAUUGGAACAGUACAGGGAAGAUUAGCAUGGCCACUGUGCAAGGAUUACACACAAAUACAUAAAGUGUUUCAUAUUUUU